AUUCCAGGACUCUCACUCAUAUCAACUGGAGUGUCAGAUACCGUCCCCAAUUCAAACCCAUGAAGCAGCCGAGCCAGUGUUAGGUGCAAAACCCGGAGCGCCAAUGAUACUCCUGGGCACAUUCUUCUACCAGAGCUGAAAGGGUCACGGUGUAAUUUCCACAGGUUAACGAAAAGGCGAGUGCCAGCUGGAAUGUGGAAGCCCGCUAUGGUGCAAUCCUCCAUGGCUUCCCUUGGUGCUGAGAGUGGAGCAGCAGGGUUCAGUCUCAAUGUUUCAUUGACAAUAGCUUAUAUGUUGCCUUCUCAUCCUGCUAAGACACUAAUACACGUAAGUUCCACAACGCACAAAGUUAAAUUUAGCAUGCAAGUGACAGGUGAGUAUAGCAACUUCUUUUGUCUGGUAUUAAAAGUAUAGAAGAAAGUGGAUGCUUUUAUACACAAAUCUGUAUUGGACAUAGGAGGAUGAAAUGUUGGUCUCUAUAUUAAACCUCAAAAUUGCUAUUAUCCAAGUGUUUGUUUUUAACUGUAGGAAGAUAAUAUAACAUUGAAUUUACAUUAAUUUUAAUAUUUAAUCCCAUAAUUAUUCAUUGUAAAUAAAGAGAUUAAUACAUGAACUAAAAAAUCUAAGAAAAAGUAAAUACAUAGUCUAGGAUUUGAAUCUUGAUCAAUAAAUGGGAAGGAAAACCAUUUACCAAUUGAGUUGUUUCAUACCAUUUAUCUGGAAUGCCAUUUGGUAUUCCACUGGUAUAACUAUACUAAACUGUAUAAGAGAUUCAUUUCAAUUUAAAAUUACUAGGUGAUCACACUUACUGGUUUAACUUACUGAUAUAAUAAUCAAUUUAAAAAGGAAAAAUUAAUGAUAGUGCAUCUCUUGGUUUAGGAAUAGACUCAAAUUCGGGCUUCCUCCCUAAUAUAUUAAAAAAGAAAAAGAGGAAAAAUUAUUAGAUUCUUACCAAGCAAGUGCCCUUAAUAGUUCUAUCAAUUUCAUCAAUAGAGCUCUUACCAUCAUCCAUGACAGAAAGCAUAACAUGGAUGAAAUCUUGAUCCUCCCCUUUAACACUUCCUUUAAGCCUCUUUCUCUAUGCUCCUUUACCCACUUCCCUAAAGCACUAUCUAUCUCCCUUGCAGUCCUUUUCAUUUCACCAACAUAUCCCAUUAAAGAAUCCAACCAACCCAGAAAUGGAAUUGCAUCAGAAACCAAGAGCAACCCAGCUAAA